UACGUAGGGAGCGAGCGUUGUCCGGAAUCAUUGGGCGUAAAGCGCGCGUAGGUGGCUUCGUAAGUCCGCUGUAAAAGUCAAAGGCUCAACCUUUGAAAGCCGGUGGAUACUGCGGAGCUAGAGUCCGGAAGAGGCGAGUGGAAUUCCUGGUGUAGCGGUGAAAUGCGCAGAUAUCAGGAGGAACACCGAUGGCGAAGGCAGCUCGCUGGGACGGUACUGACGCUGAGGCGCGAAAGCGUGGGGAGCAAACAGG
rnacentral:rRNA from 1 species